rnacentral:rRNA from 1 species
AACGAACGCUGGCGGCAUGCCUAACACAUGCAAGUCGAACGAGACCUCCGGGUCUUGUGGCGCAUGGGUGCGUAACGCGUGGGAAGCUGCACUUAGGUUCGGAAUACCUCCCCGAAAGGGGUGCUAAUACCGGAUAAUGUCUUCGGACCAAAGAUUUAUCGCGUUUGGAUGGGCCCGCGUUGGAUUAGCUAGUUGGUAGGGUAAAAGCCUACCAAGGCGUGGAUUCAUAGCUGGUCUGAGAGGAUGAUCAGCCACACUGGGACUGAGACACGGCCCAGACUCCUACGGGAGGGAGGAGUGGGGAAUAUUGGACAAUGGGGGAAAUCCUGAUCCAGCAAUGCCGCGUAAGUGAUGAAGGCCUUAGGGUUGUAAAGCUCUUUUACCCGGGAUGAUAAUGACGGUACCGGGAGAAUAAGCUCCGGCUAACUACGUG